rnacentral:snoRNA from 2 species
UGGCAACUAUGAUGAAACAUUUGGUCUGCAUGUAAUAUAUUUUGUUACAAGAUGAGGACAAUAGUCCCUCUAAACUGAUGUUGCCA